CACAUUCACUGUAAGAGCGUUGAGGGCUUUUAUUCUAGAGAGCAGAAGGCGAAAUCGAGACGAGUGUCUGGAGCUCAGCCAUGUGCUUCGAUAUGACUCUGGAAGAUUGAUUGCCUGCCGGUUUCCAGCAUCUGAAGCUUUCCUUGCUCUUCCUUCAAAAAGACCUCUACCAUGAGCACCUUCUCUCUAUGAAUCUGUUCGCUGAUAUCUUUGGGAAUGUCUGGAAUUAUCCAGUCCACAAAUUCACUCAUGAACAUCACCAAGUUCUGCAAGAGGAGUACGAGAAAAAUGAGAAAAGAGCACAGUUUCUAACCUACCUCAAGCAAAAAGCUCAUGGCUAGUAAGCCUGUGCCUAAAGAAUAACGCCCAAUGUUCUUUAUUACUAGUAGCAGAUUAAAUAUUAUAUGGUUUUCUAUUUUAAAGAUUUUUGCAUUUUAUAAACGUUUUCAGGCAGUUGUAUAUUA